GGAAACCUUGUUACGACUUUUACUUCCUCUAGACGCUCAAGUUUGAAAGUCUUUCCGGAGAAAAGGUAGUCUUGCGACUAUCUUAACCCAGUCCAAAUGUCUCACUAAAACGUCCAAUCGGUAGUAGCGAC
rnacentral:rRNA from 1 species